rnacentral:rRNA from 1 species
UACGGAGGGUGCAAGCGUUAUCCGGAUUUACUGGGUUUAAAGGGUGCGUAGGUGGGUAAGUAAGUCAGUGGUGAAAUCUUCGAGGUUAACUCGGAAACUGCCAUUGAUACUAUUUAUCUUGAAUACUUUGGAGGUAAGCGGAAUAUGUCAUGUAGCGGUGAAAUGCUUAGAUAUGGCAUAGAACACCAAUUGCGAAGGCAGCUUACUACACAGUUAUUGACUCUGAGGCACGAAAGCGUGGGGAUCAAACAGG